rnacentral:rRNA from 1 species
GAAUUUUGGGCAAUGGGGGAAACCCUGACGCAGCCAUGCCGCGUGUGUGAAGAAGGCCUUAGGGUUGUAAAGCACUUUCAGUCGGGAGGAAAGGUUAUUGGUUAAUACCCAAUAGCUGUGACGUUACCGACAGAAGAAGCACCGGCUAACUCUGUGCCAGCAGUCGCGGUAAUACAGAGGGUGCAAGCGUUAAUCGGAAUGACUGGGCGUAAAGCGAGAGUAGGUGGUUUGUGAAGUUGAAUGUGAAAGCCCUGGGCUCAACCUGGGAACGGCAUCCAAAACUGGCAGGCUAGAGUAUAGUAGAGGGGGGUAGAAUUUCCGGUGUAGCGGUGAAAUGCGUAGAGAUCGGAAGGAAUACCAGUGGCGAAGGCGGCCCCCUGGACUGAUACUGACACUGAAGUGCGAAAGCGUGGGUAGCAAACAGG